rnacentral:rRNA from 1 species
AUUGAACGCUGGCGGCAUGCUUUACACAUGCAAGUCGAACGGCAGCACGGACUUCGGUCUGGUGGCGAGUGGCGAACGGGUGAGUAAUACAUCGGAACGUGCCCAGUUGUGGGGGAUAACUACUCGAAAGAGUAGCUAAUACCGCACGAGAACUGAGGUUGAAAGCAGGGGAUCGUAAGACCUUGCGCAACUGGAGCGGCCGAUGGCAGAUUAGGUAGUUGGUGGGAUAAAAGCUUACCAAGCCGACGAUCUGUAGCUGGUCUGAGAGGACGACCAGCCACACUGGGACUGAGACACGGCCCAGACUCCUACGGGAGGCAGCAGUGGGGAAUUUUGGACAAUGGGCGAAAGCCUGAUCCAGCAAUGCCGCGUGCAGGAUGAGGGCCUUCGGGUUGUAAACUGCUUUUGUACGGAACGAAAAGCUUCGGGCUAAUACCCUGGAGUCAUGACGGUACCGUAAGAAUAAGCACCGGCUAACUACGUGCCAGCCGCCACCGUAAGAC